rnacentral:tRNA from 1 species
GGAAGGGUGGCCGAGCGGUUUAAGGCAGUAGUCUUGAAAACUACCGUGGGUUCACGCCCACCGUGGGUUCGAAUCCCACCCCUUCCGCCA